AGCAGCCGCGGUAAUUCCAGCUCCAAUAGCGUAUAUUAAAGUUGUUGCAGUUAAAAAGCUCGUAGUUGAAUUUCGGGAUUAGUACGUUGGUCGUGCCUUGGUACGUACUGAUGUAACUGAUUCCUCCCUUCUGACGAACCGUUAUGCCAUUAAUUUGGUGUGGCGGGAAAUCAGGACUGUUACUUUGAAAAAAUUAGAGUGUUUAAAGCAGGCUCGCGCCUGAAUACAUUAGCAUGGAAUAAUGAAAUAGGACGUUAAUCCUAUUUUGUUGGUUUCUAGGAUCGACGUAAUGAUUAAUAGGGAUAGUUGGGGGCAUUAGUAUUCAAUUGUCAGAGGUGAAAUUCUUGGAUUUAUUGAAGACUAACUACUGCGAAAGCAUUUGCCAAGGAUGUUUUCAUUAAUCAAGAACGAAAGUUAGGGGAUCGAAGACGAUCAGAUACCGUCGUAGUCUUAACCAUAAACUAUGCCGACUAGGGAUCGGAUGAUGUUAAUUUUUAAUGACUCAUUUCGGCGCCUUACG
rnacentral:rRNA from 1 species